ensembl:snoRNA
CCCUCCUACAAAGGCGUGUCUGUAGUGCCCUGGCUUUGGACACGUAAGAUUGGAGGCACUGAAAUGUGGACUUGGAGAAGUCUGGAGCCAGCUUGCUCCCUGCAGGCUCCAGACCAACCAUCCCACACAG